rnacentral:rRNA from 1 species
GACGAACGCUGGCGGCGUGCUUAACACAUGCAAGUCGAACGGAAAGGCCCUGCUUUUGUGGGGUGCUCGAGUGGCGAACGGGUGAGUAACACGUGAGUAACCUGCCCCUGACUUUGGGAUAACUUCAGGAAACUGGGGCUAAUACCGGAUAGGAGCUCCUGCUGCAUGGUGGUGGUUGGAAAGUUUCGGCGGUUGGGGAUGGACUCGCGGCUUAUCAGCUUGUUGGUGGGGUAGUGGCGUACCAAGGCUUUGACGGGUAGCCGGCCUGAGAGGGUGACCGGGCACAUUGGGACUGAGAUACGGACCAGACUCCUACGGGCGGCAGCAGUGGGGAAUAUUGCACAAUGGGCGGAAGCCUGAUGCGGCAACGCCGCGUGCGGGAUGACGGCCUUCGGGUUGUAAACCGCUUUCGCCUGUGACGAAGCGUGAGUGACGGUAAUGGGUAAAGAAGCACCGGCUAACUACGUG